GACGAACGCUGGCGGCGUGCUUAACACAUGCAAGUCGAACGGAAAGGCCCUGCUUUUGUGGGGUGCUCGAGUGGCGAACGGGUGAGUAACACGUGAGUAACCUGCCCUUGACUUUGGGAUAACUUCAGGAAACGGGGGCUAAUACCGGAUCGGAGCUCCUGCUGCAUGGUGGGGGGUGGAAAGUUUCGGCGGUUGGGGAUGGACUCGCGGCUUAUCAGCUUGUUGGUGGGGGAGUGGCUUACCAAGGCUUUGACGGGUAGCCGGCCUGAGAGGGUGACCGGCCACAUUGGGACUGAGAUACGGACCAGACUCCUACGGGAGGCAGCAGUGGGGAAUAUGGCACAAUGGGCGGAAGCCUGAUGCAGCAACGCCGCGUGCGGGAUGACGGCCUUCGGGUUGUAAACCGCUUUCGCCUGUGACGAAGCGUGAGUGACGGUAAUGGGUAAAGAAGCACCGGCUAACUACGUG
rnacentral:rRNA from 1 species